rnacentral:lncRNA from 1 species
UAUUAAAAAACCUAACACUUUCUGGGAUGAAACUAGGGGUUAACCAUAUAACUUAAAGAAAUUGGCCAAUUACGUCAUGGUUUUCUCAGAAUAAUCCUGUAGCUAGAGUUUUUGCACUUGAAUAGGUCAAAGCAGACGCGGAUUUAUCAUAAGGCAGCGACGGGUAGCUUAUUGGACCAGUGGAGAAUUGAAGGAUAAUAUUGAUGACGACAUGCCAGACUUGAAACUUAAGAAAUUUGAGAAUAUAGGCUAUGGAUAUGAUCCAUACAAUUUCAUUUAUAAUUUUGUCUAUGUCACAAAUGAUGAUGAAGAUUACAUGAGCUACUUCCUUGGAAUAGACUCGGUUCUAACCCGUAAUGAACUAAAAAUUUCUGGAUGGAAGCUGGACUCUAAAGGGUUUAUAUUCGAUCAUAAAAGAAUGGUAACCUUAGUCUUUCAA